GCCCGCAUAGCUCAGGGGUAGAGCGUAUCACUAGUAACCAUCACAGUCAUGAUAAGGUCAUCAGUUCAAUUCUGAUUGUGGGCA